UGCCUGGUGGUCCAGUGAUUAGGACUCUGCACUUCCAAUGCAGGGGACACGGGUUUGAUCCCUGGCUGCGGAA
rfam:TPA: Bos taurus chromosome 13, whole genome shotgun sequence.